UACGUAGGGGCUAGCGUUAUCCGGAAUUACUGGGCGUAAAGGGUGCGUAGGUGGUUUCUUAAGUCAUAGGUGAAAGGCUACGGCUCAACCGUAGUAAGCCUUUGAAACUGGGAAACUUGAGUGCAGGAGAGGAGAGUGGAAUUCCUAGUGUAGCGGUGAAAUGCGUAGAUAUUAGGAGGAACACCAGUUGCGAAGGCGGCUCUCUGGACUGUAACUGACACUGAGGCACGAAAGCGUGGGGAGCAAACAGGAUUAGAUACCCCCGUAGUCCCUGAGCGGGCU
rnacentral:rRNA from 1 species